ACGGGGUGCAGCAGGCGCGAAAACUUCACACUGUGCGGAAGCGCGAUGAGGGAAUCCCAAGUGUUUGCUCGUAAGAGUAAACUGUUUCUUUGUUUAAAACGCAGAGAGAGUAAGGGCUGGGUAAGACGGGUGCCAGCCGCCGCGGUAAUACCUGCAGCUCAAGUGGUGAUCAUUAUUAUUGGGCCUAAAACGUCCGUAGCCGGUUUAGUAAAUGCCUGGGUAAAUCGUGUAGCUUAACUAUACGACUUCCGGGUAGACUGCUAAACUUGAGACCGGGAGAGGCUAGAGGUACUCCUGGGGUAGAGGUGAAAUUCUGUAAUCCUAGGGGGACCACCAGUGGCGAAGGCGUCUAGCUAGAACGGGUCUGACGGUGAGGGACGAAGCCCUGGGGCACAAACCGGAUUAGAUACCCGGGUAGUCCAGGGUGUAAACGCUGCUUGCUUGAUGUUAGUUGGGCUCCGAGCCCAACUAGUGUCGGAGAGAAGUUGUUAAGCAAGCUGCCUGGGAAGUACGGUCGCAAGGCUGAAACUUAAAGGAAUUGGCGGGGGAGCACAGCAACGGGUGGAGCGUGCGGUUUAAUUGGAUUCAACGCCGGAAAACUCACCGGAGGCGACGGUUACAUGAAGGCCAGGCUGAUGACCUUGCCUGAUUUUCCGAGAGGUGGUGCAUGGCCGCCGUCAGUUCGUACCGUAAGGCGUUCUGUUAAGUCAGACAACGAACGAGACCCUCAUCUUUAAUUGCUACUAGUAAGUUCGCUUACUGGGCACAUUAA
rnacentral:rRNA from 1 species